GACGAACGCUGGCGGCGUGCUUAACACAUGCAAGUCGAGCGGAGGGGCGGACGGGUGAGUAACGCGUGAGUAACUGCCCCCCUCUCUGGGAUAACAGUUGGCAACGGGUGCUAAUACCGGAUAGUGGGGGAUGAAUCGGGUCAUAUCAGAUUGUUGGGGGGGUAGGGGCCUACCAAGGCGAAGACGGGAACACGGCAUGGGAGGGGGACCGGCCACAAUGGGCUGCGAUACGGCCCAAACGCCUACGGGGGGCAGCAGUGGGUAAUAUUGCACAAGGGGGGAACCCCUGAGGCAGCAACGCCGCGUGCGGGAUGACGGCUUUCGGGUUGUAAACCGCUUUCAGCCAUGACGCGGUACUGGCAGAAGAAGCACCGGCUAACUACGUGCCAGCAGUCGCGGUAAUUC
rnacentral:rRNA from 1 species